rnacentral:rRNA from 1 species
GUCGAACGCGUUGGCCCAAUUGAUUGAUGGUGCUUGCACCUGAUUGAUUUUGGUCGCCAACGAGUGGCGGACGGGUGAGUAACACGUAGGUAACCUGCCCAGAAGCGGGGGACAACAUUUGGAAACAGAUGCUAAUACCGCAUAACAGCGUUGUUCGCAUGAACAACGCUUAAAAGAUGGCUUCUCGCUAUCACUUCUGGAUGGACCUGCGGUGCAUUAGCUUGUUGGUGGGGUAACGGCCUACCAAGGCGAUGAUGCAUAGCCGAGUUGAGAGACUGAUCGGCCACAAUGGGACUGAGACACGGCCCAUACUCCUACGGGAGGCAGCAGUAGGGAAUCUUCCACAAUGGGCGCAAGCCUGAUGGAGCAACACCGCGUGAGUGAAGAAGGGUUUCGGCUCGUAAAGCUCUGUUGUUAAAGAAGAACACGUAUGAGAGUAACUGUUCAUACGUUGACGGUAUUUAACCAGAAAGUCACGGCUAACUACGUGCCAGCAGCCGCGGUAAUACGUAGGUGGCAAGCGUUAUCCGGAUUUAUUGGGCGUAAAGAGAGUGCAGGCGGUUUUCUAAGUCUGAUGUGAAAGCCUUCGGCUUAACCGGAGAAGUGCAUCGGAAACUGGAUAACUUGAGUGCAGAAGAGGGUAGUGGAACUCCAUGUGUAGCGGUGGAAUGCGUAGAUAUAUGGAAGAACACCAGUGGCGAAGGCGGCUACCUGGUCUGCAACUGACGCUGAGACUCGAAAGCAUGGGUAGCGAACAGGAUUAGAUACCCUGGUAGUCCAUGCCGUAAACGAUGAGUGCUAGGUGUUGGAGGGUUUCCGCCCUUCAGUGCCGGAGCUAACGCAUUAAGCACUCCGCCUGGGGAGUACGACCGCAAGGUUGAAACUCAAAGGAAUUGACGGGGGCCCGCACAAGCGGUGGAGCAUGUGGUUUAAUUCGAAGCUACGCGAAGAACCUUACCAGGUCUUGACAUCUUGCGCCAACCCUAGAGAUAGGGCGUUUCCUUCGGGAACGCAAUGACAGGUGGUGCAUGGUCGUCGUCAGCUCGUGUCGUGAGAUGUUGGGUUAAGUCCCGCAACGAGCGCAACCCUUGUUACUAGUUGCCAGCAUUAAGUUGGGCACUCUAGUGAGACUGCCGGUGACAAACCGGAGGAAGGUGGGGACGACGUCAGAUCAUCAUGCCCCUUAUGACCUGGGCUACACACGUGCUACAAUGGACGGUACAACGAGUCGCGAACUCGCGAGGGCAAGCAAAUCUCUUAAAACCGUUCUCAGUUCGGACUGCAGGCUGCAACUCGCCUGCACGAAGUCGGAAUCGCUAGUAAUCGCGGAUCAGCAUGCCGCGGUGAAUACGUUCCCGGGCCUUGUACACACCGCCCGUCACACCAUGAGAGUUUGUAACACCCAAAGUCGGUGGGGUAACCUUUUAGGAGCCAGCCGCUAA